GAGCUUGACUCUCCCUC
rnacentral:misc_RNA from 3 species